rnacentral:rRNA from 1 species
AUUGAACGCUGGCGGCAGGCUUAACACAUGCAAGUCGAGCGGAGAUGAGGUGCUUGCACCUUAUCUUAGCGGCGGACGGGUGAGUAAUGCUUAGGAAUCUGCCUAUUAGUGGGGGACAACAUUCCGAAAGGAAUGCUAAUACCGCAUACGUCCUACGGGAGAAAGCAGGGGAUCUUCGGACCUAGCGCUAAUAGUUGAGCCUAGUCGGAUUAGCUAGUUGGUGGGGUAAAGGCCUACCAAGGCGACGAUCUGUAGCGGGUCUGAGAGGAUGAUCCGCCACACUGGGACUGAGACACGGCCCAGACUCCUACGGGAGGCAGCAGUGGGGAAUAUUGGACAAUGGGGGGAACCCUGAUCCAGCCAUGCCGCGUGUGUGAAGAAGGCCUUAUGGUUGUAAAGCACUCUAAGCGAGGAGGAGGCUACUGAGACUAAUACUCUUGGAUAGUGGACGUUACUCGCAGAAUAAGCACCGGCUAACUCUGUGCCAGCCGCCGCCGUAAGAC